AGUGAACGCUGGCGGUAGGCCUAACACAUGCAAGUCGAACGGCAGCACAGGAGAGCUUGCUCUCUGGGUGGCGAGUGGCGGACGGGUGAGGAAUACAUCGGAAUCUACUUUUUCGUGGGGGAUAACGUAGGGAAACUUACGCUAAUACCGCAUACGACCUACGGGUGAAAGCAGGGGACCUUCGGGCCUUGCGCGAUUGAAUGAGCCGAUGUCGGAUUAGCUAGUUGGGGGGGUAAAGGCCCACCAAGGCGACGAUCCGGAGCUGGUCUGAGGGGAUGAUCAGCCACACUGGAACUGGGACACGGUCAGACUCCUACGGGAGGCAGCAGUGGGGAACAUUGGACAAUGGGCGCAAGCCUGAUCCAGCCAUACCGCGUGGGUGAAGAAGGCCUUCGGGUUGUAAAGCCCUUUUGUUGGGAAAGAAAUCCAGCUGGCUAAUACCCGGUUGGGAUGACGGUACCCAAAGAAUAAGCACCGGCUAACUUCGUGCCAGCCGCCGCCGUAA
rnacentral:rRNA from 1 species